rnacentral:rRNA from 1 species
GAUGAACGCUAGCGGCAGGCCUGAUACAUGCAAGUCAAGGGGAUAGCAAUAUCACCGGCGGACGGGUGCGUAACGCGUACACAACGUGCCCAAGGGCGGAGGAAAGCGGCGGGAAACUGCCGGUAAUACUCCAUGGUGUUGUUGAGUGGCAUCACUUAACAACUAAAGUACAAGCGCCCUUGGAUCGGUGUGCGUUCGAUUAGCUAGUUGGCGGGUAACGGCCCACCAAGGCUUCGAUCGAUAGGGGGUGUGAGAGCAUGACCCCCCCACACGGUACGUNAGACACGACCGACCUCUACGGAGGGC